GCUCCCUGAUGUUAGCGGCGGACGGGUGAGUAACACGUGGGUAACCUGCCUGUAAGACUGGGAUAACUCCGGGAAACCGGGGCUAAUACCGGAUGGUUGUUUGAACCGCAGGUUCAAACAUAAAAGGUGGCUUCGGCUACCACUUACAGAUGGACCCGCGGCGCAUAGCUAGUUGGUGAGGUAACGGCUCACCAAGGCAACGAUGCGUAGCCGACCUGAGAGGGUGAUCGGCCACACUGGGACUGAGACACGGCCCAGACUCCUACGGGAGGCAGCAGUAGGGAAUCUUCCGCAAUGGACGAAAGUCUGACGGAGCAACGCCGCGUGAGUGAUGAAGGUUUUCGGAUCGUAAAGCUCUGUUGUUAGGGAAGAACAAGUACCGUUCGAAUAGGGCGGUACCUUGACGGUACCUAACCAGAAAGCCACGGCUAACUACGUGCCAGCAGCCGCGGUAAUACGUAGGUGGCAAGCGUUGUCCGGAAUUAUUGGGCGUAAAGGGCUCGCAGGCGGUUUCUUAAGUCUGAUGUGAAAGCCCCCGGCUCAACCGGGGAGGGUCAUUGGAAACUGGGGAACUUGAGUGCAGAAGAGGAGAGUGGAAUUCCACGUGUAGCGGUGAAAUGCGUAGAGAUGUGGAGGAACACCAGUGGCGAAGGCGACUCUCUGGUCUGUAACUGACGCUGAGGAGCGAAAGCGUGGGGAGCGAACAGGAUUAGAUACCCUGGUAGUCCACGCCGU
rnacentral:rRNA from 1 species